UACGGAGGGAGCUAGCGUUGUUCGGAUAUACUGGGCGUAAAGCGCACGUAGGCGGUCCAGCAAGUCGGGAGUGAAAUCCCUCGGCUCAACCGAGGAAGUGCUUUCGAAACUACUGGGCUUGAAUACUGGAGAGGGUUGCGGAAUUCCCGGUGUAGAGGUGAAAUUCGUAGAUAUCUGGAGGAACACCGGUGGCGAAGGCGGCAUCCUGGACCAACACUGACGCUGAGUGAGCGAAAGCCAGGGGAGCAAACGGG
rnacentral:rRNA from 1 species